rnacentral:rRNA from 1 species
UGAAAAGGGACCGGACCCUUCGGGAGGCUUGCACAGGUGCUGCAUGGCUGUCGUCAGCUCGUGUCGUGAGAUGUUCGGUUAAGUCCGCUAACGAGCGCAACCCUCACUGUGUGUUAUAUGUGUCACACGGGACUGCCGGUUUUAAGCCGGAGGAAGGUGGGGAUGACGUCAAGUCAGCAUGGCCUUUAUAUCCUGGGCUACACACACGCUACAAUGGUCGGUACAAUAGGUUGCCAAGCCGCGAGGCGGAGCCAAUCCAAAAAAGCCGGCCUCAGUUCAGAUUGUAGGCUGCAACUCGCCUGCAUGAAGAUGGAGUUGCUAGUAACCGCAGGUCAGCAAUACUGCGGUGAAUACGUUCCCGGGUCUU